UUCCCUCCACAAGAGGCCACUGCCCACCGUCUGCGUCACAGGGAAGACCUGGGACAAGCUCUUGGGUAUAGGCCAGCCUGCUUGGUACCCCCCCGGGUGACCUGAGGACACAGGCCAGGAACCAACCACUGAACAUGCCACUUGCCCAGCCCCCACAAGUCCUCAGGAAGGAUGCCUGGCCCCCUGGCCUGCCUGGGAUCCUCUUGACCCAGCGGCCUUCUACCAGCUGGGGAGAGUACAUCCCUCUCCGGGCCAGUGAACUUGGUGCCAGCCCAGGAGCUCUGUGUGACUGUGCUGGACGCCACAUCCUUUCAUUCCUUAGGUUCUCAAGGCAACCUAUUUCCACUUUUACAGAGGAAAGCAAGAACCAGAGAAGGCAGGCUGUACAGCUAUAAUCUCAGCGCCGAGGAGGUGGAGGCAGGAGGAUCAGAAGCUCCGUCAUCUUUGGCAACAGCAAGUUUGAAGCCGGGCCGGCCUACAGGAAACCUUGUGCUAAGGGGCGGGGCAAGACGGCUCUGCAGGUAAAGGCACUUGCCAUCAAGCCAAGCUUCCUGAGUUUGAACCCAGGACCCACCUGGUGAAAGGUGGGAAGUGAUGCCCACAAGUUGUCCUGACUCCAUGUGCACAUCAUGGCUUUACUUACCCGGGCACCCUGACCUGUGACAUCGAGAGACGUGGCCCAGAGGUCACGUGAGAAACAGUGGAGGCGAGCAAGCUGUGCACGCUGAAGGAAGAGGGCCAGCUGUUCUGUCACUCAGAAGAGGGCCCCGCCCCACCCUGUUCAUAUCAGAAGUGAAAAUACCCAAGAUCACAGACUUAUAAGCCAGAUUCUGAGGCUCCACCUGCUGGAAUCUGACAGGUGCCAUGAAGCUUCCCAGCUCUGUCUGGCCCAGUCCAUCACCAUGUGGCAAGUGUCCCAGCCAAGGAGGCGACUCAGGAGCAAGUGUUCUGAAUGGUGCUAUAUAAAAACAGGAGAGACAGCAGGGCGGUGGUGGACCCACGCCUUUAUUCCCAGUACUUGGGAAGCAGAGGCAGGCAGAUCUCUGUGAGUUC